AGAUAGUACUCAUUAAGAAAAUGAGAAACGAUGGACGUGGAAUACAUUAUUUUUUUCCGCUCAGAAACGGUAAAUGGGAAUGAGUUCAUUUUAUGAGAGGAAUUUGCCAAACACUGACUUAACCGUUUACAAAAUAUCACAAAUAAAAUAAUCGAAUAGGCAUUUAGAAACAUAAACAUAAUUAAACUAUUGCGAAUCCAAACACAUAAAAAAAACCUGCGUUUUUCUUACCCCUAAUAGACAACCCGCCGCUAGUAUAUCACACACCAUCUCGGGAAAGCGCCGC